rnacentral:rRNA from 1 species
UGGGGAAUUUUGGACAAUGGGCGAAAGCCUGAUCCAGCAAUGCCGCGUGUGUGAAGAAGGCCUUCGGGUUGUAAAGCACUUUUGUCCGGAAAGAAAUCCUUGGCUCUAAUACAGUCGGGGGAUGACGGUACCGGAAGAAUAAGCACCGGCUAACUACGUGCCAGCAGCCGCGGUAAUACGUAGGGUGCAAGCGUUAAUCGGAAUUACUGGGCGUAAAGCGUGCGCAGGCGGUUUGCUAAGACCGAUGUGAAAUCCCCGGGCUCAACCUGGGAACUGCAUUGGUGACUGGCAGGCUAGAGUAUGGCAGAGGGGGGUUAGAAUUCCACGUGUAGCAGUGAAAUGCGUAGAGAUGUGGAGGAAUACCGAUGGCGAAGGCAGCCCCCUGGGCCAAUACUGACGCUCAUGCACGAAAGCGUGGGGAGCAAACAGGAUUAGAUACCCUGGGUAGUCCACGCCCUAAACGAUGUCAACUAGUUGUU